rnacentral:lncRNA from 1 species
AUGAACAGCGCGACCGUGGGUGCCGCCUUGCCACCACAGUCCCCGAGGGCCAACCGGGAUGCGCAGGAGUCGUUAGGCGGGACGCGCCCGUUGCUGGGAGGCCGGCUGCUGAGGCUCCUUGGGAAGGAAGUCACGUGGCUGAGCGCCGCGCUUCCCGCGGAGCCCCCGCCUCUUCUCAGCCCCGCCCUACCGAGCUGCCAACGCGGAGGAGCCGCCGCCUGCAGCUUUCACCGGUUCAAAGAAGUUAGGGUUGUGAAAAUCAGCCUCACUUCCUUAUUUGCCACACCAGCCCACUGGUCCACAGUUGGUUCUAGGAGCCCUCCAAGAUAUGCAUCAUCUGAUCCGACGAGGCAGUUCCCCAGGUGUACUGUGCUGUCCCAGGUUCCUGGACCCCAGCUACUUCAUGCUGCUUCCUUCACAGAAAAAAUAACUUCCAAGACAUGCCUUGUACCCACCACCCAGUCCCGAGAGGAGGAGGCUGGCAGGCAGAUCCCAGUCCCACAGCCUUCCCUCUGCCACACACAACACAGGAGCAAAGACUCGUUCUUCAAAAGAAGCGUGGCUGGUGGUGCUUCAGGUUCUGAGAGCUCUGGCUCAUGAGAAGAUAAACUACUUUCAAAAAGGAAACAGGAAACAUGUAUAAAGGAAAAAUUAAGUAAAUAUUGGUGAGACUGUGCAGUCAGAGGUUUACGCAAGCUAUUAGUAGGAGCACAGAACUUUUCUGGACAUUUUGGCAAUAUGUAUCAAAAAGCUAAAUAGGUGUAUCUUUUCAAUUUAUCUGAAAAGACAAGACACAUACACAUAUGCAUGUUUGCUGCAGUGCUGUUUCUAGAGGAAGAAAGGAUAUAGCCUAAGUUUUUCACUAGUACAUUGGUUGAAUAAAUCACAAUAUAUCCAUACAAUAGAAUACCAUGUAAGUUAUUCAUUCUGUUAUUCGUUUGGGGGCAGGGGGUGGAAAUAAAUUCAGUGCUACCAAUGAGUAUAUGUUUUGCUUCAUUCCUUUAUGUAGUAUCUUUUUUUGUUGU